GGAGAGGUGGCUGAGUGGCUGAAAGCGCUCCCCUGCUAAGGGAGUAUGGGCUGAUACCCCAUCGAGGGCUCGAAUCCCUCCCUCUCCGCCA
rnacentral:tRNA from 1 species